rnacentral:misc_RNA from 1 species
GAUGAAGACGUAGCGAAAUGCGAUAAGUAAUGUGAAUUGCAGAAUCCAGUGAAUCAUCGAAUCUUUGAACGCACAUUGCGCCCGCCAGUAUUCUGGCGGGCAUGCCUGUCCGAGCGUCAUUUCAACCAUCAAGCCCCAGGCUUGUGUUGGGGACCUGCGUCCGACGCAGGCCCUGAAAACCAGUGGCGGGCUCGCUGUCCACACCGAGCGUAGUAACUAACCUCGCUACGGGAGCGGCGCGGGCGCCUGCCGUAAAACCCCCAAUUUUCACAAGGUUGACCUCGGAUCAGGUAGGAAUACCCGCUGAACUUAAGCAUAUCAAUAAGCGGAGGAA